GGAAGCACGCGUGGGGGCCUGUUCCUUCCCCCGCCUGGGGAAUCUCCCUUGUUGUUGUUAUUGUUGGAAAAACGUCAGCAGGGCUUGGUUUGGUGAAACAAAUUCAAGCCGAUUAACGUAGUGUGAGGCCUUUGUUAUUUUUGUUGUUGUUUGGGGAGAUUUCUGUGGUCUUGAGUUGAGGCAAUCCUGCUUUAGUCUCUCAAAUGCCAGGAUUACAGAUAUUUGAGUUCCUUCCACCUUAUGCCUGCUGUGAACAAGGAGCUGCAGUGAAUAUGUAAAAGUUACUUCAAUCAUAGUAGCACACUCCUUUAAUUCCAGCACUCAGAAGGCUGAGAGGCAGAUGCUGACCAGAGGAUGUUUGUAGACGCCAUAACUAAUGCUUUGGGAGUCCUUAUCUUUUGCAAAGCUCCCCUCCAGGGCAUGUGGCUCCAUGCCACUGUGUGACUGACCUCCGCAAGGCCUUACCUCAGGCAACAUGGGGUUUGUUCCUUCUCUUCUCCA